GGUGUGGGUGUGGGUGUGGGUGUGGGCGGAUGCAGGCAGUUUGAUGAGACGAUCCCAUCUCCAUCUCAUCUUCUCGUGUCAAGGACGCCAUGGAAGAGGUUUCGCUUCUCUUCAUUCAUGAGCAGGAUCAGGAUCUUUCUUGAACAAACUUAAUUAUUGGCAUGCAGAUUCAUGAAUCAAUUUAAUUUUUGUUUGUGCUGUAGGCAGCGUCAUCCCAUCUCAUCUGCUUGUGUGAAGGACAGGGGCCCUGGAGGAGCUGCUCCCCUGCGGGUUCAGUGGCUGCUCCGACACUGACGGCAUGGAAGGUCCUCGCUUGCCCUUACCUCUCCCUGUUCGGUUCCGUUCAUGAGCAGAUUUAAUUUUUGGUAGAUUCACGAAUCAAUUUCCCACAAGUUGGAGCUUUAUGUGGUUGCGACUAGGGAUUAUUGUAAUGCUAUUCGCUUUCACUGGAUGGCCGUGUGAAUGAAAUUACAUGUGUUAGUCAAAUGAACAAAUUAGAUGACCCCCCAUGCCUACAAGCCUUCUUGGGUUAAAAUUAAAUGGUUUAUUGAUGUCUAGUUUUUGUAUGUUCUGGUUGGUUGUGAAACACAUGCGGUUUUUCUAGGCCGAUUCAGUUUUUUGGUUCUGUCUUGUUCUAGCCUUCUAGGUCGAUUCAGUUUUUCAUUUUCUCUCUUUAUGAUUUAAACACGAACUGCAGAUCCAGUAUCUGUUUGAUCAUCCAUGUGCCAUAUAUAUAUAUGGAGCUGUCUGUAGCAUUUGAUCACUACUACUACUAGUUGCAGCAACUAGUAGUGCCUUAACAAUGGGCUCUCUCUGGAAAACAAGUCUUCUUGAGGAGAAAUCUAACUGUACUAAGUACCAGUAGUAAGUAUCUUCUAUUUGCACCCCUAACAGCUUAGAUUGUUUUUUUUAACUUGUUAAAAUCGUGGAAGAUGUUUAGCAGCUGCUUCUCUUGGAAGCUGCUCUUUCUAAACAUAGUCAUGGAUAUGUAUGUACUUGCUUCAUAUACCAUACCUUUUCAGAAAUAUAUAUCAGCUGUUCUUGCAGUAUUUAAGAUGUUUGAAUGAGAAAUUACCAUUUUCGUGCCUCCAUUAAUUUUUUUCUCUGAAUAAACUGCUCUUUUGUUGCACGUGAAGGAAAGAAAUUGGUAAGAAUCUACAUAUCUACACGAGAACAUUUGUAGUUGAAGGACUUAGUCUGACCAUUUCUUUUCGCACUCGUUCAUUUCUUUUCUAUCUUGCACCUAUGCUUAAUAUGGUAUUGCUAUCUAUUCUGGAACUGCAAAUAUGUUUAUAUAAAGAUGUAUAUAAAUCAAGCAACACACGCAUUGUAGUUUGUUACUUCUUGGUUUUCUAACUUGUGUCAAAAACUUUCAGCAUGUUAUCAGAAUGGUAGCUUGUAUUGCUGCAGAGCCCAUUUCUAUCCUGGAAAGCAUGGAUUCUGAAGGAUAUGUAUAAUGGGACGUCAAACCUGAGAACUUUCAUCUCAGCCAGCCUGGAACUCCUGAAGAAAAGAAACCUUUUCUUGUAGAUCUUGGAUUAGAGGUGAUCGUUGUUGUGAUGAAGCUGCAGUGGUGGCGUAGGAAAUUUAGCUUAUUUUUUGAGGUCACCUAAUCUUCUACAACCUUGGCAAUGGCGGCUGCCUCUUCUUGGUUCAGAGGUGAUCGUUGUUGUGAUGAAGCUGCAGAGGUGGCAUAGGUUGACGGAACUUGGUAAGCUCAAGGGACACGUCGAAGUUGGUUUGUCAACUAGAAGGCGCUCGACAUCGAGACUGUCCAGCAGUUUGUACAUGGUGGGAUGAUAUGGGCUUACAUGACUGCCUCUUCAGCUACAACUACUUGGGAGUUUUAGCUUAUUCUUUGAGGCUGCCAUAUCUUCUACAACCUCGGCGAUGGCGCCACCUCUUCUUGGUUCAGGUUGAGGGAACUUGAUAAGCUCAAGGGACAUGUGGAAUUUGGUUUGCCAACUAGAAGGCGCUCGGCAUCGAGACGGUCCAGCAGUCCGUACACGGUGUGAUGAUCUGGGCUUCCAUGAAUGCAUCAGCUACAACUACUUGGAUGCGAUCGUUGUUGUGAUAGAGCUGCAGUGGUGGUGUAGGUUAUUCUUUGAGGUCUCCUAAUCUUCUACAACCUCGGCAGUGGUGGCUGCCUCUUCUUGGUUCAGGAGUGGAAGUCGCAGGCUGAGGGAAGGGAAGUUUAUACUCCACAUGGGAAGGAAAGGAGGUGACAGACCCAAGUGUUGUUUGCUUGCGCGGUAGUUGCAACAAACAUGCCCCAAGUGUUGUUCCUUCAAGACUUUUUGUUGCUGUGGACACAUGUGUUUGUUAUGGUUGGUUUAUGAUGAGUCACAACAAAAAACUUGGGUUGUUGAUGUGUCUGUGAAACAAUCAAUUUCUUUUUGUUUGUUUGUUUGUAUCGAACCCAAGGAAGGAGCAUAAUACUUUGAAGCUGCCGAUCGAAUUGGUGGUUUUGAGGGUGGUAUUAUAUAUUGAACUCACUCAUCUACUGGUCCAUAUUUAUUUAUGUUUGUGGAAUUUGCAGUGCCUCAUUGGAUUUAUCAAAUAUUUUC
rnacentral:rRNA from 1 species